AGGACGAACGCUGGCGGCGCGCUUAACGCAUGCAAGUCGAACGAGAUCCAAGGGGUGGCAACACCCUGGAAGAUCGAGUGGCGAACGGGUGAGUAACACGUGAGAAACCCACCCUGGGGACCGGGAUAACCCUCCGAAAGGAGAGCUAAUACCGGAUGCCCUCCUCGGAUCGCAUGAUCUGAAGAGGAAAUGGAUUCCGCUCCAGGACGGUCUCGCGGCCUAUCAGCUAGUUGGUGAGGUAACGGCCCACCAAGGCGACGACGGGUAGCUGGUCUGAGAGGACGAUCAGCCACACUGGGACUGAGACACGGCCCAGACUCCUACGGGAGGCAGCAGCGGGGAAUAUUGCACAAUGGGCGAAAGCCUGAUGCAGCGACGCCGCGUGGGGAUGAAGGCUCGUCGGUCGUAAACCCCUUCAGCAGGACGAAAUCAGACGUACCUGCAGAAGAAGCUCCGGACCAACUACGUGCCAGCAGCCGC
rnacentral:rRNA from 1 species